rnacentral:lncRNA from 1 species
AUAUGCAACAGAUGCAGUAACAAAAGGAGGGUCAAAGAACGGGGAAAUCAAAAUCACUGGACUCCAUAAACUGAUUGUGUCAAAAAAUUAAAUAAGAUAUUUAGCAAAUGUUCUUGACAAACUUCGUUUAACACUCAUUUUUUGGGCAUUCACAAAGGAAUCAAUAAUCACUUGAAUGGCUUUGUCUAUAUGUGAAGGGCGCACAAACUCACUGAGCUGCAUUUUUGCAAAUGCUUCACUUAAACGGAUAGCAGACUCCAGAUGACGCACAGUAAUAGGAUAACUUCCAGUAGCCAGUGACUCGCGUCUCAUAUCGCUAUAAAGUCUCGAAAUCUUUUCUUCAUCCAUUUGCUGUAAUCGAGGAAAAACUUUUUCACGAGCGAAAUGGAUAUAUUUACGAAGAAGAUCUUGGGGAAUGGGUUUGGCAUCAAUACCAGUCUCAGUAGGGACUUUCUUCAAGACAUCCAUAUUCGGAUCAAAUGCAGGAUGAGAUCGAAUAUGACUUGAUACAACAAAAUUAGCUAGCUGUUCAUCAAUUUCAGGAUUAACCGUGUCUUUGACGACCUGAAGGAUGUCAAAACGAGAUAAAAUAGGUUCGGUCAGCUCAACAUUUUGAUUAAAAGGAAUUGUAGUGUUAUAACGUCCACCGAUGGGAUUAGCGGCAGCAAUAAUAGUGCACCUCGCCUGCAAGGUAGUCACAAUACCCGCCUUAGAAAUAGAAAUACUUUGUUGUUCCAUGGCUUCGUGAAUAGAAGUACGAUCCUGAUCAUUCAUUUUAUCGAACUCGUCAAUCAAACAAACACCUUUAUCUGCUAAAACCAAAGCACCCCCUUCCAAAGUCCAUUCAUUCGUAAUGGGGUCUUUACGGACGGAUGCAGUUAGACCAACAGCACUGGCACCCUGACCUGUGGCGAAGACAGCCCUAUGUGCCGUUUUUUCAACAUACUUAAGAAAUUGAGAUUUGGCGGUUCCUGGAUCUCCCAACAAUAAAACAUUGAUAUCACCUCUAAUUUUAUGCUUACCGUUAAUAUUUUUGGGGACACCACCGAAUAAAGCAGCAGCAAUAGCAGUUUUGAUAGAGCGAUGUCCAUAAAUAGAAGGCGCCAUCGAUGCAAUAAUUCUGUUGUGAAUAUCAGGCGACUUUGCUAAUGCCCGAAUUUCCCUUUCCUCAUCAUCAGUAAGCCGACUUAAAGAGAAAUCAUCAUCAGUAUUACCACUGCCGUCAAGUUGCGAUAUGUGAUUUGCUUCUAUAAUUGUAGCGAAGACAGGAAACCCGUUUUUGGUAUUCAGACUAGCAUCGAAGUUAUUGCGGUAUAUGCCAGUAACAUCAAUCUCUUCGCCUGGUUUGGCAACAUCAACCAAGUCCGCUAAAAGAAUAACUUCACGGUGUCGAGGCAGUCUACCUGAGGGGACGGUGCCAGGUGAUUCUUGUAAAGUGAUCCUUUGAUAGUUAUUAUAUACAGUCCGUUCAGAGUUGAUUACAAACGGACCACGGCUGGAACAGUUGUGACAGAAAGAAAUUUUUACUUCAACGCUAGAGUCUUGAAAAAAUGGACCCAAAGUAGCACCACAUUUGGUACAUGUAAACCGAAUGUAUUUUAAUUGUGGAAAAAGCCCAGUGCGCCUAGUUACGACACCAGAUACCCGUACAAGGCAAUUAAGAUGGGAUUGUCGUAGAUCGCGUAAAGUAA